rnacentral:rRNA from 1 species
UACGUAGGGGGCAAGCGUUGUCCGGAAUCAUUGGGCGUAAAGAGCGUGUAGGCGGCCCGAUAAGUCCGCCGUGAAAGUCCAGGGCUCAACCCUGGAAUGCCGGUGGAAACUGUCGGGCUGGAGUCCGGAAGAGGCGAGUGGAAUUCCUGGUGUAGGCGGUGAAAUGCGCAGAUAUCAGGAGGAACACCAAUGGCGAAGGCAGCUCGCUGGGACGGUACUGACGCUGGAGACGCGAAAGCGUGGGGGAGCAAACAGG